UCUUCGAUCCCCUAUAAGUACCCGACUCCUUCACUGCCGACUUCACACCCACCGUAAUCACCUCUCGUUCACACCUCUUCACUGCCUUCUUCUUCUUUCGCCGGAGCUAGCCGGAGAAGACAACCGGAAUAACGCCAUCCGUUUCGAAGCACCAUAAACCCACCGAACGGCCACCGUUCUCUACUUUGCUUUCCUGUUUUAAACCGUCGCCGGGAACACCUCCUCGCCGGAACUCCGCCGCCGGAGCACCUCCGCGUCACCACCAUUCGCCGCCGUCGAACCGCCGGUAACAGUUUCCGUUUCCGUUUAUAGAUACUUCGAUCGAUACAGUUUGUUUUAUUUUUUUUUUUCAUGUACUGGUAAAUCUCUUGUGCAACGACACUUGGAACAAUCCUCAUACUCUCUUUCCAAGAAAUACGCAACGCAC
rnacentral:lncRNA from 1 species